CAUACGAGCAUGAUAAAGUAGGCAAUCAUAAGAGAGAAGAAAAAGAAGAAGUCACCGAGUGUAUUCCGCUGAAUCGACUUCGGAUCGAAGUAUCCACCUGUACUAUCGAGAACCAGAAGUGCAGAACAUGCGAAACUAUCCGCCGGACCUAUGAAAGAUCCACUAAGUCAAGCUCCAUCCAAAUAAGACUCCAAACAACCCAAACAGACGACUACAAAAACCAAUAACCUAAAACCCGUCGGAACUCCCGGAACUUGCCGGAACGUCCUCGGAACCCACAAACUGCUCCAGAAUUCCCCGAUCACAAUCGUAACUAUCUGUUGUCCCCCAAAUGCACUAAACA
rnacentral:lncRNA from 1 species